AUGUUAUAUUAUGUUGUGUUAUGUUAUGUUAUAUUGGGUACCUUUUGUUUUAUGUAUGAACAUCCCCUUUUUCAGGAUCCAUUAUUUGCCACACCUCACCUGAAAUCUACAUGGUUUCCACAGGAGUUACUAUGCCAGAACAAUAUGAUCCCACCUCUUCUCUACAGUUGAAGAAAGUGAUUCAGAACUCUUUCAAGAACUAAAGAGAAAGCAAAACUCCAUGCAGAAAAGAAUGGGAUGGUAAUUUGAAGAGGCAAUGAUAGGCUGAUACUAAGGCUUAGAUGUUUUCAUGGCACAUCUCUCUCCUGCUGCCAUGUGAAGAAGGAUGCGUUUUCUUCCCCUUCAGCCAUGAUGAAAACGCUGCCCAUUGUGUACAGAAUCUCCAUCAUAUCACCCAAACAGAAUCUGCCUGACCAUGUGAACAACAGUUUUGGGGUACAUGAGCAGAGCAUGCAAGACAGUUGCGUAGGUACACACAUGGCAGUGUGCUUUGCUUUUCUUCUCCCCUUCACCCACAUUUGGCAUUUCUCCCCAGGCUAUCCCUCCCCACCUCCCCCUCCCACUGGCCCUCCCCUUUUCCCCCCAAUAGACCCCAGUGUUUAGUACUCCCCUUUCUGUGUCCAUGUGUUCUCAUUUUUCAUCACCCGCCUAUGAGUGAGAAUAUGCGGUGUUUCAUUUUCUGUUCUUGUGUCAGUUUACUGAGGAUGACGUUCUCCAGAUUCAUCCAUGUCCCUACAAACGACACAAACUCAUCAUUUCUGAUUGCUGCAUAAUAUUCCAUGGUGUAUAUGUGCCACAUUUUUCCAAUCCAGUCUAUUAUCAAUGGGCAUUUGGGUUGAUUCCAGGUCCUUGCUAUUGUAAACAGUGCUGCAAUGAACAUUCGUGUACAUGUGUCCUUAUAGUAGAACGAUUUAUAGUCUUUUGGAUAUAUACCCAGUAAUGGGAUUGCUGGCCUUAGAAAUAGAAAUUCCAUUUGACCCAGCAAUCGCAUAGCUGUGUUUUUUAAGAACACUGUGAAUCCUAUCACUCAUGGUGCCUCCUUGUAUUUCAGUUUACACUAGAAAAUGGAGUAGUUGCCAUAAUUUGGUCUACAAAUAUCACCAGUUUUAUUAUAUUUAUUUUAUUUUGAUAAAAAUUAUGCAGCCAUGAUGUGUCUCCUUUUCUCACAGUGUCCUCCCAUAGUCUAAUUGCACAUAAACCGUAAUUCAUUUCAGUGACUUAUAAAUCAGAACAUUCUCAUGCAGUAUAUUUUUCUUCUUAGCAAACACACAUACCCAAACAUAUA
rnacentral:lncRNA from 1 species